AUUUCUUAUGAGUUAAAAAAGACUCUACUUAUAAAAAACCUGAGGAAGCUAUAAUAAUCCAAGUUGAUAAUAAUUUAAGCUUAUCUGGUAUGCUAUUUUUCAUUUUCCCAUUCAGCUAUGACCCCUUGUACUUUUACUUAUUCAUAGCUGUCAGACUUGGUAAAUUUUGAAUUUCAACCCCCCCCCCCCAACCGCCCCCAAAAUGCAUUCUGCAAAGCUUUUGGCAAGGUUGGGGCAAAUGUUCUUUUAUAAAAGAAGCGUCACCGCCGUGUAACAGAGACGUGAAACAGAGAAAGACCUUCAAAUGCAGAAACUCUCAGCAGAGCCGCUUAUAAAGUUCAUUUCAGGGGCAGGCGCUCCCGGCCUGGGAUCGAGGAGGUGAGCUGAGCUGGUCUUCUGGGCCCUGCCACUUACACCUGCUGGAUCGCAAACUUGUCACCUGCCUGUCUGAGUUGCCGUUGCUUCUUCCACAAGAUGGGACAGGAGAUACCAGAGAUAUUUCUUCUGGAAGGCUAUCGCAGAGAUGAGAUGAAUCGUAGGUGGUGUUUCUAAUGGGUCCCCGGAAGUCGCAGACCAUUGAAUGGAUAUGAGAACAUUCUUCAUUCUAACUCCCUUCUGAAUCUCGUAGCUGUAGGCUUCUCCUGCCAUCUUGAUCUGGGAGCUGUCGUGGGAAAGACAAGGAGAGGCACUGUGGGAACAAGCCACUCUUGCCAGUUGAGAGCUUCAAGGGUCUCAGGAGGCAGGUGUUACCGAAGGGAGCCUGGCUUUGGGUCCACGAACUGCAUGGAGGUACGUCAGAGUGGCUCUGUGACACGCACUGAAGAGCAAAGCUUCUCUCUGUGAAUCAAGAGCACCUUCUGUUGGCAGCUAAGUCUCAUGAGCCUUAAAAGUGGAGGUACAUCGAAGCACCGAAGCAAACUUACAGGCAACGGAGAACAGAGAGGAAGUUUUUACCGACUUUACUAGGCCAUGAGUUGCAAUAUCUGCCCCUUCCUCUGGUCACGAUGAAACCCCACUGUUAUAACGCUGCAUCAUCGCGGUGGCUUGGGAGCCUAACAGAAGCCCUAUUUUGAGUCAGGGGGUCUAGAAGGGAGCAUAUCACAGUGGAGCGAGAGCUAGUCUCUUCUCAGCCAUUUACCCGCCACGUGACUUGGACAAGGCUUUCAAUGUCACCCGGUGCCGGCCUGACUACAUCUCAUUUUCCAGGGAUCAGUGUCUGCAUGUUGUUUCUCCUACAGAUUUCUCACCAGUCGAAGGCACCGGCGUAUAUAUUUGUAUUAACCGGUUGGUAGGUCACUGAUUCUAUAAGAAUGGAAGUGCAGAUUCCCAGACGCUUGCGGAGGCGAUGAGAGGUGGUGAGGGGCCGAGGAAUCUGCAUUCUUAAGAAGCACCCCUAGUGAAUGCAAGGAAGUUGGGGCUGAGAUGAAAAUACACUUGGCUGACGUAUCUGGCAUCCAGAAUAGUGUCUGACACAAAGUAGGCAUCCGAUGAUCUUUACUGAAUUAAAGAUAAAUGGCGUAAAUGGUGGCCUGGCCUAUCCAUAUCAAGAAAGACUGCCUCACCCAGUGGGAAGUAGAAAAGCUUACUGGUCGGGAUGACUCUUCAUCUAAAUAUUAAGGUCUCAGUUUCCUUUCAGGAGGAGAGGAAAGGAGACAUCUACGAAGAAUCGGGGUAGAAAGCCCCAGAAUUAUAAAAGGAAAUCCCUGACACCGGGCCCCGGUGGCUGGCUUAGGAUGAACUACACUGCUUCUCUUUAUGAUAAGCAGCCCCUGUUCUCUCUGGUCCUUUCCCGACUCUUGAUUUUUACUUAAUUCACCUCCCUGGUGCCCAUAUCUGCUCUGUC
rnacentral:lncRNA from 1 species